rnacentral:rRNA from 1 species
AGAUCAUAUGCUUGUCUCAAAGACUAAGCCUGCAUGUCUAAGUAUAAGCCAAACUUUUAUGGUGAACCUGCGGAAGGAUCAUUAAAUCAGUUAUAGUCUAUUUGACUGCGUUAGCUACAUGGAUAACUGUGGCAAUUCUAGAGCUAAUACAUGCGAAUGAAGCCCUGACUUCUGGGAGGGGUGCACUUAUUAGAUAAAAGCCAAUGUUGACUCCUUAAUGGGGGCUUCGUCAUUGGGGACUCUAGAUAAUUACGCGAAUCGCAUUGGCCUUGAGCCGGCGAUGCUUCAUUCGAAUAUCUGCCCUAUCAACUUUCGAUGGUAAGGUAUUGGCCUACCAUGGUGAUAACGGGUAACGGGGAAUCAGGGUUCGAUUCCGGAGAGGGAGCCUGAGAUACGGCUACCACAUCCAAGGAAGGCAGCAGGCGCGCAACUUACCCAAUGCCAAUACGGCGAGGUAGUGACAAUAAAUAGCAAUGUAAGACUUCAUAGGGGUCUUAUCAAUUGGAAUGAGUAGAGUUUAAACCUCUCUAUGAGAAACAAUUGGAGGGCAAGUCUGGUGCCAGCAGCCCGCGGUAAUUCCAGCUCCAAUAGCGUAUAUUAAAGUUGCUGCAGUUAAAAAGCUCGUAGUUGAAGUCUGCACUCGGUGGGGAAGUCAAAGUCUUAAAGGGGGCGGCUGNUUAUUCACUGGGUGCAUCANUCAGNCAUGGGGGNACCGG